rnacentral:rRNA from 1 species
GACGAACGCUGGCGGCGUGCUUAACACAUGCAAGUCGAACGGAAAGGCCCUGCUUGCAGGGUACUCGAGUGGCGAACGGGUGAGUAACACGUGGGUGAUCUGCCCUGCACUUCGGGAUAAGCCUGGGAAACUGGGUCUAAUACCGGAUAGGAGCCAUUUUUAGUGUGAUGGUUGGAAAGUUUUUUCGGUGUAGGAUGAGCUCGCGGCCUAUCAGCUUGUUGGUGGGGUAAUGGCCUACCAAGGCGGCGACGGGUAGCCGGCCUGAGAGGGUGGACGGCCACAUUGGGACUGAGAGGCGGCCCAGACUCCUACGGGAGGCAGCAGUGGGGAAUAUUGCACAAUGGGCGCAAGCCUGAUGCAGCGACGCCGCGUGGGGGAUGACGGCCUUCGGGUUGUAAACUCCUUUCGCUAGGGACGAAGCUUUUUGUGACGGUACCUAGAUAAGAAGCACCGGCUAACUACGUG